CUCCCUUGGCAUUUUAUUUCAGUAUUUAAUCACUCUAAAAAUCAAGAAUUUCAACCUUACUUCCAUCUGAAUUUUCCUUCUACAAUUUCAGCCCAUUUCCUCUUUGCAGAAUAAAUGGUCACCCCUAUUCUUAUUAUAACUCCAUAUAUUUGCAGACAAUUGACUUUAAGACUCCCCUGGUCAAAAUUAAACCAUUUUAAUUUUUGAAAUGAUGUUUUUUGGACUCUAUCCAGUUUUUAUAUAAUAUUGCUAACUAUGUAAAUGGCAAUCAAGGAUCAUUAAGUUUUUAAUACAGAUGAACAUGGAGGUCUAAAUUAUUUGUUAAACGCUAAUACAGAUCUUACAUUAAUUUUUUUUAAAUUAUAAUUUUAAACUGGUUAGCAUGGCCAGAAUUUGCUUGUAAGUUAGGGUAAUAUCUCACUGACUGGCAAAGUAGUGGCAGUUAAAAAUGAAUAUAAUGUGAACGGGGCAGAGGAAGAAUCUUUGGGAAACUCCAGCUCUUAUGAUAUAGAGGAAGAGAAUCCAAAGAGAGAGAUCAAAAGUCUCAGCAGGAAGUGAGGGAUAUAAAAAGACAUUUUCCAAGUGUUAAUGACUCCAGAUUGCUCUAGUCUAGUUGCUGAGGUCUCUCACACUUACUUGAUUAAUUUUUCUCUUUUUCCAGUGAGGCUAUUAAAAUGUCCACCUUAACCUAAGACUGAUCCUCUAGCUUUUCUCCAAGUUUGAGGGGAUACUAUUAAGUGUAAAGUGUUUUACCUUAUCUCAUUUAGUCCUCCAAUCAACUCUAUGAAGUACUAUUACCUGAACUUUACAAAAGAGAAAAUGAGGGCUUCAAAGAACCAAAUAAAUCAUCCCAGAUCACAAAGUCAUUAAAAGUAGAGCAGAACUGAAUUUGUUCUAUCUGCCCACAAAAAUCAGUGUUCCUACCCAGCACUAUUCUAGGGGCUGAGAAGUAGAUAGUCUGCCUUGGGGGACUGGCAAUAAGACAGAAAAAGACCAUCUUUAGUGAGCUUUUUGUCAUCACCAUGCUCUGGCAAUUCUAAACAAUGUCAGUUAAUAAGAUACCUCUCUCAACUGCUAUCUCCCAUGUUAACCACCAUAGGAAUGCUUUUAGAUUAGGUGAGGUAGCAGAGUCAAAAGACCAGAUAUUCAAGUCACUAAACUACUUUUAGUGACUUUUCUUCAUUUUUAAUAUUAAAUAACAAUAGUUAUUACGCUCAUUAUGUUCCAGACAUUAUACUAUGGGCGAUUUAGAUGUUACCUGUUUAAUCCUCCCGACUCUGAGGUAUAUAAUACUAUCCUCCAAUAACAGUGACAAUGAUAUCUUUUUCCAACCAUGUUGAUUACUGUGUGUGUAUAUAGGGUCAUUUCUAGA
rnacentral:lncRNA from 1 species